rnacentral:ncRNA from 1 species
GUGUCCGGGAUAGAAACACCGGAGGUUCAUAUAGGAUGGUCGGGCCGCCAUCU